GCAGAUGUAAUUUAACGAAAAUGCUGGAUUGUGAUUCCAGAAAUAGGAGUUCAAAUCUUCUCAUCCGCC
rnacentral:tRNA from 1 species